AGAAAAAUAAACAUGAAAAUGCACAGAAUUUGGAUUGUUCUGAUGUUCGUCUAUCUUUCCAUGGUAUCCUGUGAGCUGAGUGGGUUCGGACGAGGAGUAAUGGCUGUAGGACUUGGUUUCCUUGCUGGGGGUGGAGUAGGAGUAGGACUCGGAGCUCUAGUAUUCAGUUCUCCAGGAGGAGGGUUGGGUACAGGAGGAGGAGGAGGACUAUGGUUUGGACGAAGAUAAUGAGCUUGCAUUGCAUGCAAAUAUUUAAUAAAAAUGUAAGAUAAAUAAAGCUAAGACAAUAAAAAAAUUUGUUUUCUUUUAA